UACGGGGGGGGCAAGCGUUGUUCGGAAUUACUGGGCGUAAAGGGCUCGUAGGUGGCCAACUAAGUCAGACGUGAAAUCCCUCAGCUUAACUGGGGAACUGCGUCUGAUACUGGAUGGCUUGAGUUUGGGAGAGGAGAGUGGAAUUCCUGGUGUAGCGGUGAAAUGCGCAGAUAUCAGGAAGAACACCCGUGGCGAAAGCGGCUCUCUGGAACGGUACUGACGCUGAGACGCGAAAGCGUGGGGAGCGAACAGG
rnacentral:rRNA from 1 species